rnacentral:rRNA from 1 species
GACGAACGCUGGCGGCGUGCUUAACACAUGCAAGUCGAACGGAAAGGCCCUGCUUUUGUGGGGUGCUCGAGUGGCGAACGGGUGAGUAACACGUGAGUAACCUGCCCUUGACUUUGGGAUAACUUCAGGAAACUGGGGCUAAUACCGGAUAGGAGCUCCUGCUGCAUGGGGGGGGUUGGAAAGUUUCGGCGGUUGGGGAUGGACUCGCGGCUUAUCAGCUUGUUGGUGGGGUAGUGGCUUACCAAGGCUUUGACGGGUAGCCGGCCUGAGAGGGUGACCGGCCACAUUGGUACUGAGAUACGGCCCAGACUCCUACGGGAGGCAGCAGUGGGGAAUCUUGCACAAUGGGCGGAAGCCUGAUGCAGCAACGCCGCGUGCGGGAUGACGGCCUUCGGGUUGUAAACCGCUUUCGCCUGUGACGAAGCGUGAGUGACGGUAAUGGGUAAAGAAGCACCGGCUAACUACGUG